rnacentral:rRNA from 1 species
UGGGGAAUUGUUCGCAAUGGGCGCAAGCCUGACGACGCAACGCCGCGUGGAGGAUGAAGAUCUUCGGGUCGUAAACUCCUUUCGAUCGAGACGAACGGCCCUUGGGUUAAUACCCUGAGGGAGUGACGGUACCGAGAGAAGAAGCCACGGCUAACUACGUGCCAGCAGCCGCGGUAAUACGUAGGUGGCGAGCGUUGUCCGGAAUUACUGGGCGUAAAGAGCGCGCAGGCGGCUGGUCAAGUCCGAUGUGAAAGCUCCCGGCUCAACUGGGAAAUUGCAUCGGAAACUGAUCGGCUUGAAGGUGGGAGAGGGUAGUGGAAUUCCCGGUGUAGUGGUGAAAUGCGUAGAUAUCGGGAGGAACACCAGUGGCGAAGGCGACUACCUGGCCCACUCUUGACGCUGAGGCGCGAAAGCUAGGGGAGCGAA